rnacentral:lncRNA from 1 species
GAGGAUUCAGGAAUCUUCCUCUAGUGAGAGGCCCUAAGGUAGUAUUUUUCCAUGUGUCAGAAAGAAAUCAAUAGGUCCCUUCAUGAGCUUUCUCUCCUCAGGAAGGCAAAGGCUAGAAGAAUGCAGCGCUUUAUGGAGUCUGGGAGAAGGUUAUGUGUGCGAUCAAGUUAUUUUUCCUUCCCUUUGGUUCGGCUUUUCUGACUCAAAAAUUCAUGGCCUCAUUGCUCAGAAAAGGCGUGAACUAGCGUGUCUUGAAGACCACACACUGAAAGUUCGACUACCUUUGAGUAGACUCAGAUGUGGACAUAGCUGUUGGUUCAGUGUAGUUGUUAGGACUUGACCAUGACUGACAGAAAUGUAUACAUUUACCAGUGUCACUUCUUGCUAAGAUGUUACUGGUUUUGCAUUCCUCAAGGGAAAGUGAUUUUACCAAGUUAAUUUAUGAGGGACCAAAAGCUAUCAAAAUGUACUUAGUGACAAUUCCUGCAUAUCAGUUCCCUUCCUCCCUUGCUUAACUCUGGAAUAGUGAAAAUAUUGGAGUUACAGGGCAGGCUAUGAGCUGUAUAUCAUUGCUUAGUGUUAAACCUCUAGCCUAAUAUUUUGAAGUAGAAUUGUUUAACUCAAAGUCAUAUGCAUCUUCUUUAUGCCUCUGGCCUGCUUUCUUACCCCGACACACACCCCUGCUUAAAAUGGAGAAAAGAAAAUAUGCUUUUCUCUCCCACUAUAGAUUGGCGGAUGCUGCAGCCUCACCGUGUUCUGCAUACGGGACAACAGACUGACCCGAAUACCUUCAGAAGUAUCACAGGCCAUGGAACUUCACGUCCUCGAUGUGGCAGGGAACAGGUUACACCAUCUGCCCUUAUCGCUGACCACCCUGAAGUUAAAGGCCCUGUGGUUAUCUGACAACCAGUCCCAGCCUCUCCUCACGUUCCAGACAGACGUAGACCACACCACCGGGGAGAAGAUUUUAACGUGUGUCUUACUUCCUCAGAUGCCUUCUGAGCCCAUCUG